UUUUUUUUAAGACAAUUUAAUAGUAUAAAACACAUGUUGAUACUGACUGUGUACUAUGGGUAACACAUAGCAAAAACAAUAAGUCUUCCAAACGUUUGUAUAAAUAAUCACUAUGAAAGAAAGACAACUCUGAUGUUUACAAUAAUAGUUGCUUGCUAAUAAUUUCUAAUUUGUUAAGGUUCAUGAGGACCCUUUGGUUAAAAUGGCUGUAUUUUCACCUCAAAAUUUACUCUGAGUACAGACAAACCUGUGCAUCUGUAAAAUUUUAAGGCACAGCAUGCCCUAGAUAAAUAUAUUUCAAAUAUGUUUUGUGUUUUAGAAAAAUAAAAACUUACCAGGAUUUUGCAGUUCACUUUUUUUCAUUCCUCCAGAAGGUGCCAAAAUAAACUAAGUUGUGAAACAGUUUUGAGAACUUCCCCACAGGUAAUAAUUGAAGUGAGCUGUAUUGAUUGACAUGGACAAUAGAUGGACAAUAGAUACCUGACAAUAAUUGGUGAUUUAAACUGUGUACCUGAGUGGACCAUAUCAAGGAAAACUCAACUGUUUGUUAAUUUUAUCAUCUUCUGCAGGUACGAAAAAAAGUGCAUUGCAAAAUCCAGUUAAGUUAUGAAUUUUCUAAAUAAUACAAUGCAUUUGAAUACUAUUUAUCUAGGGCAUGCUAUGCCCUAAAACUUUUCCAGGUGCACAGAUUUGUCUGUACUCAGAGUAAAUUUUGAGGUGAAAAUACGGCCAUUUUAGCCAAAGGGUCCACAUGAACCUUAAUGUGAAUUUUAAAGCAUAUAUUUAUUUUCAAGCAUUUAUUUAUUUUAAAGCAUUUAUUUAUUUCAAUGCAUUUAUUUUUUCAACUUAACUGAGAGCAUUGGUAAAUGCAUUUUUUGACUCAUUGUGGUAAGUAAGCAAUGGUUACACAUUUGAAAUAAUUCACACACACAUUGUAGUUAUGUUCUUAACCAAAAGAUUUGAAUGUAAUACACUUAAUAAUAUACUAAAUAGAUAAGUAAUUUAGUCUUUCAAAUAAUCUUACAAUAUUUUCUGGAUUCUAUCCUACCCAAUCAUAGGUAUUAUUACCAAACAAGCCAGUUUUACUAGUUUUGUUGCACAGCAGGUUUAUUACAUGGGAUUUUCAAGUAGUUUGUAUUUCAUUUUCAUAUUUUCAAUCCUUAUUUGAUGCAUGUGAACAUAUUUGACAUAGCCUGUUUGAGGCAUGCUUGAUAAUAUAAAAAUAAGAAGAUGUGGUAUGAUGAAGGACAACUCUUCACCACAAAUCAACUGACAGAGCAGUUAGCAUCUAUAGGUCGCUUCAACAUUGAUAUAAAUGGUCUUCAACAAUGAUCAAACCUUAUACUACACAGCAAGCUAUAAAAAGUCCUGAAAUGACAAAUGUAAAACAAUACAAACAAGAAAACUGAAGACCUGAUUUAUAUACAAAACAAUAAACAAAAACCAACAAGCACUAUAGGAUCAAACUCUUGAUCUCACACCUGAAGAUGCUUCUGCACAACAAAUCACAUGGCUGUUAGCCAUCACCGUUCCAAAAUAUGACCAUGGACACAAAUCAAGAAAAAUGGCCAUUAAUGCUGAGGGUACUUACAACUGCAUUCAUCUGUAGUUAUAUCGGCCAAAAAUAAGAAAUUUCAAAAGUAAAUUUAAGAUGUAUAAGGUUCCUUAUCAGUUCUUAGUCAGUAAUAAAAAAUAAACUGAUAAUAUAUAUCAUAGCACAUGUACCAUUCAAUAACAUAACCUUUUUGUUACCAGUAAAAAUGUUAUAGAAAUAUAUCAUGCAUAAACCAUAUCAGAUAUUACAUAACAAUUUCUUACAAAUGAGUGUAUGCAAUGUUUGAAAAUAUAAACAUUUAAUACAUAUAAAACAUAUCAUAUGUUGAAAUAUACAAUGAAUUUAUAACAAGACUUCAAUUACUUAUUUAAAGCAUAGUAGUCUGAAGCACAUAGUUUUUUUUUUUAUAUCUUUUAUAAAACGUUACAAAACUAUAUCAAUUUAGCACUUUUUAAAGGAGCAUGGCACAACGAGUGAUUAUGACAAUGGUAUUGAUAUAAUAGCCCCUGUUGAUCAACGAGUGAUUAUGACAAUGGUAUUGAUAUAAUAGCCCCUGUUGAUCAACGAGUGAUUAUAACAAUGGUAUUGAUAUAAUAGCCCCUGUUGAUCAAUGAGUGAUUAUGACAAUGGUAUUGAUAUAUAAUAGCCCCUGUUGAUCAACGAGUGAUUAUGACAAUGGUAUUG
rnacentral:lncRNA from 1 species